CUUAAUUUGACUCAACACGGGAAAUCUUACCGGGUCCGGACGUAUCGAGGAUUGACAGAUAGUUAUACAUGCCCUACAAGCAAGUAGGAGUCAGGUUUUAAACCUAAUGGCUCUUUCAUGAUUAUAUGAUAGGUGGUGCAUGGCCGUUCUUAGUUCGUGGAGUGAUCUGUCUGCUUAAUUGCGUUUCAAAUUUUUAACCGAGGACCGGGUUUUGGUUUGGCUAGUGGUCCUACGAUGACUGUGAACUGUCAUGUCUUCGGANGUACGACUAUCGGUCUAGGAUCACAUGACUUGCCCCUGGGACUCUUUUGAACGCAACGGACGUGAUUGCAACCCCUUGUUGAGAUUAGAGAUAGUCUCGAUAUUCACUGGCCAAACUGGCUGCUUUAUGCAGUCUUGUUGAAUGGUGGAUAAACUCGGGGGACUGCUGACUAUAACCAUUUCUCAAAACAGAGGAAGGUUGCGGCAAUAACAGGUCU
rnacentral:rRNA from 1 species